rnacentral:misc_RNA from 1 species
GAUGAAGAACGUAGUGAAAUGCGAUAAGUAGUGUGAAUUGCAGAAUUCAGUGAAUCAUCGAAUCUUUGAACGCACAUUGCGCCCCUUGGUAUUCCAUGGGGCAUGCCUGUUCGAGCGUCAUUUGUACCUUCAAGCUCUGCUUGGUGUUGGGUGUUUGUCUCGCCUCUGCGUGUAGACUCGCCUCAAAACAAUUGGCAGCCGGCGUAUUGAUUUCGGAGCGCAGUACAUCUCGCGCUUUGCACUCAUAACGACGACGUCCAAAAGUACAUUUUUACACUCUUGACCUCGCAUCAGGUAGGGAUACCCGCUGAACUUAAGCAUAUCAAUAAGCGGAGGA